CUGUGAGGUGUGGCGCGGCGUCUGUGAGGAAGACAAACUGAUGUGAGGAUGAGGAGGAGUCAGAAAUAAACUCAUUCAACUAAUACUUGAGUAGCUACUGUUGCCUACAGUAUGUUCAAGGUUUUGCUAGUCAUCCAUAUGAUCACUAUUGACAGCUUGGGAGACUCACACAGGCUAGUGAAUUUCAGGAAUUAACAGAAACUGAACAGCUUCUAUAAUCCUGCAGGAAGUAACCUCUGGAUGGCACAGUAAGUACUCCCGUGUCCCUAUGGAUAAC
rnacentral:lncRNA from 1 species